AUGGCCGAGCGGCGGGGCGUGCUAAUGAGCGACCGGCGCCGUGGGCUGAUGUUCUGCGCUGAUCAGUUCUCUAGCGAACAGCCGCCCGAGGCAAGGUCUUCUCCCCACCUAGCCAGAAGUUUGAUCCUUCCGAAGAGGUAUUGGGAAGUAAUAUUGGAGAUAAAUCGAGUUGUGAUAAUGCUCAUGAUACUAAUAAUGACGAUGGUAUCUAUGGCAAUAUGGGAGAUUAUAUAUAUGGUGAGGAGCCUUAUGAUCAGUACGACGAUAAUGGUGAUGAGUCUGAUGAUCUUCGAGUCAUGCAACAAAGUAAAGUUAUGA
rnacentral:rRNA from 1 species